rnacentral:rRNA from 1 species
UACGUAGGGUGCGAGCGUUAAUCGGAAUUACUGGGCGUAAAGCGUGCGUAGACGGUUAUUUAAGUCGGGUGUGAAAGCCCCGGGCUCAACCUGGGAAUUGCAUUCGAGACUGAAUAGCUAGGGUGCGGAAGAGGGAAGCGGAAUUUCCGGUGUAGCGGUGAAAUGCGUAGAUAUCGGAAGGAACACCAGUGGCGAAAGCGGCUUCCUGGUCCAGCACCGACGUCAGGCACGAAAGCGUGGGGAGCAAACAGG